UUCCAGCUGCCUAAGUGGAUACAUAUCUGCAUUUUUCUGAGAUGGCAUCAAGAGGCUGUAAGCAUCCGGCAGACGCAUUUUGCUAUGUCUGCAGCCAAUUUAUCAAGACAAGAGUGAAAAAGUACUCUGUGGAAGCAUCUGCUAAGAUGUGUGAGGCCUACAAGGCAUAUUUCGGCAUGACAAUCGGGGACCAAGACAAACCCUGGGCACCUCAUGUCACCUGCAAGCAAUGCAAAAAAACUCUGAAAGGAACCCACUUGCCACUCAAGCAACUACUACUUCUGCAUGGUGGACCCUUCCAAACGUCGGACUAGCAAGAAUGCACCUGCCAUCACGUAUCCGGACUUUCCUUCAUCCAUCGCCCCGGUGUCACACUGCCAUGAGCUCCCCGUACCCACUCCUCCGGAGAGAGAACAGCCGUGUUUGGAAGAGGAUUACAACAGCACCAAUACUUUGCUGGAUGCCUUGAAGUAUGAUGAGUAUGGCUGGGAGGUCAUCAAAGACUUAAAAUUGUGGCAAUCCUGAUGGGUCUCCAAGGCGGUUUUACCAAGUUUCCUUGCUAUCUUUGCGUUUGGGACAGCAGAUACACCACACCAAGGCGCACUACCACAGGUGGGACCGAGUUCUCUGUGGGGAGGAACAACAUCAAGUGGGAGCCACUGGUGGACCCCCGGAAGGUGCUGAUGCCACCACUGCACAUCAAAUUGGGCCUUAUGAAACAAUGUCAGUGCUGUAGAUAAGGAGUCAGCAGCCUUCAAGUAUAUUCAAGACUUCUUCCCUGCCACAAGGCAAAGGUCAAAGCCAGUGUCUUCACAGAUAAAGAAGAUCCUGGAGUGCAAUGAAUUCCCCAAGAAGCUCACUGGUAAUGACAAUGUCAAUGUGAGCUGCUCAAUUCAAUUAUUGAAGAAGUUCGCAAUAUGUGGAGGGAAAGGUGGGAGAGAAUGCAAAAGAACACAAGGUAC